AAUAAGUGCAGUUUUACAAUAUUUAUGUUCAAUUUUGAUCGUCCAUCUUAUUUGAAAAAAUUUUAUGAUUAGUAUUUUUGUUGUUAUUAGAUGAUAAAAUAUGAAUAGUACUUUAAUUUUUUUAAUUUUUUUAUAAAUUUUUCAAAUAAAACAAAGGGUUAAACAUUGGAUACAGAUAUUUACGAUUGCGCUUAUU
rnacentral:pre_miRNA from 1 species